rnacentral:misc_RNA from 1 species
GCCAAAUCAGUUGUAGUUGCUUCAUUAGAAUCAGUCCCUUCGACCAUCUAAAUAACCAAAUCAGUUGCUUGCUCUGGUUAUUUCCCCAUUGACGAUGAAACUAUGCCGCGGUCAUUUUGAUAUGUGCGUAUUUUCCAAUAGACCCAAAAAGAUUAUUUCCUCCAUUCAUGAUGGAAUCGAUUUUCUAUUAGUAAUCACCUAGAUGGAUUUGAAUUAUCAGAGCAAUUGACUACCUCCUGCUGUAAUGUUAUCGACACAGCACUUAAUCCUCCCCUUCUAGUUAUCUUCUGCUGCAAUGGUUUCAAAUUUGGAAGGGCCAGUUCUCCUCGAAAUAGUCCAUCAAUCCCCCUUCUUCUGCUUGG